ensembl:lncRNA
AGGAAGUAGUGAAUGAGGACGGGGAAAGGUUUGCUGGCACACAGAGGAAAAUCACACCGUUUCAGGCAAGGCAGAACAAUGGUUCUCACCGAUGCCGUGUGCUGUUGGGAAGUGAACGUGAUCACGGAGGAAACAGAUUUUUGUUUAAGAAAAGCCCACCCUAUCUCUGCUGAAUCUGGGUUAUUAAGUCCUAUGGGAAAGAAUGCUGUCACAAAGAGCCCAGCUGAACUGUGUCUUAUCAUCAAUAAAUCCGUUUUUGUCCAUUGCUGUGCCAGGGCACCCAGGCAGAAGGGAAAGACCACAUGGGGACGGACGGUGCACCUCUGCUCUGAGCGGUGCUGUGCUGGAAUACAGGAGAAAAACCUCCAGGAUCUCUGACUUAGGGGCUCUGAUGGGGAGAAGUCCAAUCGCUGACCUCCCGCAGAGGCUGUCUGAUAAGCUUGUCUGUCCCUCAUACCUACCAGGCACUUUGCUGACAGCACACGAUGCUCUUAGAGGAAUUCUCCAGAACUUCUGCCCGCGGCCAUAAAUGCGGUUACCUGUUGAUCCCUUUCCCCUCCACAGCACAGAAAGGCGAGCUGCCUCGUCCUAUGGGAGCUGGUUUGGUGCCUUGGAAAGGAGCUGUGGCUGCAGGUGUUGCGUGGAAGACGAUUUAGGGAGGACAGCAUUAGGGUUUGCAGCAGAGAUGGGGCUUUGUGAUGCAUACCCCAACCCUCUUGGGAAGGCACAAGAGGAUGGAUGGUGUAACCUCAGCUCAUCGCUGAAGUAACCACCCACAGCUCCGACUGUGUUGGAGAAAACAUUGGUGUUUGGAAUACGUCCUCCAGGUGUCCAGGAGCCUUCAGCCUCCUGGGGUCCCCACCAAAGUGACCCCCACCUCCUCCAGAACACACAGACGGGGCACAGAGCAGCGGAUUCAGCAGUGCAGCAUCUGGUUUCUGUUCGGUGCUCUGAGAUCAUGAACCGCCCCAUCCAAAGCUCAUCCCGUAGGUGCAGCCAUGGGUGCUGGGAUCCCUUCCUGGGUCCGACAGCCCCCGGAGCAUCUCCUCCCUCCACCCCAAAUCAAACGGAACCAAUGGAAUGCAUACAUCCUUUCCAACCAUGCUAACCGCAAUGGUACUAAUUAGCACUCCGCUAAAUGGCUGUGAUUAGUUUAGCAGCUGAUGGAAUAUUUAAUCUAGAAUGUCUCUCUAUUUUUUCUGGGGGGGGGGGGGGGGGAGAAAAAAGCAAACCGAAAAAGCGGGUCGUUUAUUUAUUUCUCUAACAAAUUCCUGCUGCUGGCCAUGCUGAAAACGUGAAUCACGCAGCGGGAGCUGAGACUGGAGUGGCUCUUCUACCGAAGGGAAAAAAAAAAAAAAAAGAAAAAGAAAAAGAAAAGCAGAUUAAAGUGCAGGAAACGCAGCUUGUGAGAUGAGGCAGGCGCCUCGCAAAGCCAUUUGCAACACAAAGUUAACGAAUAACGCCGGGCUCGGAGCACGAUAAAUGAACGAGCGCAAAAUAGCAGAGCUUCCCCCUCCAUCGUGCUGAUGGAGCGGUGGUUCCCCCCACUCCCCCCUCCCACCCCAGGGCUGAAGCUCAGCGGUUCCCCUUCGCCCCCCCCCCCCCCACCCCCCCCCCCCCCCCCCCCCCGCUGUUGGAUGGACUCCGCUUUGCGUGCGCCGUUUUGGGGUGUGACACCCCGCACUCACAGCCCGACCCAGCGCAGAUCCCAUCGCCGAUCCACGCCUGCCUCCCCCCGGACAGGCCCGGCCACUUCCCGACCUGCUUGCUUUUUUUUCUCUCUCUCUUCCCCCCCCCUCCUCCCCCCCUUUUGUAAUUUUUUCGGUCAAUCCUCCCCUUUCUCGCUUGCUUUUCAGAAAGCUGAUUCAGCCCUGCAGGCGAGCAGGUUGCACCGGCGGCCAAAGGGGCGACCGCACUGCCACGCCGCCGCUGGAAGAGCCCUUUGCAUUUUGAUUCUCUUCUCCCCCCCCCCAACCUUUUUUUUUUCCAAUCGCACCGUCUUGGCCUUAGAAAGGCAGCAGGGAGCGCAGAGCCGCCGGGCUGUGCGUGAUGGCUCCGUCAGCCCCAAGGAAGGGAUGCAAAGGGCAGCCUGGAUCCUGGGGGGACUGCAUUUAGGAUUAAGCCACCCACGAUCCUGGGGGGCUGCGGGGGUGAUGAAUAGGGGAGGACGGGGCCGGGGGGCACCGGCAUGCCCUCAGCACAGAGGAUGGGGCUGCUCCUGGGAGUGGGGUCACUGCUGGCUGGGGAGGAUGGGGAGCGCAGAGGGGUGCAUGGACACCCCCUCAGAUAACCCCCCCCCCCCAAAGGACACCCUGGGGGGGGGGGUCAGGUCACCCCCAAGGAGGGACAAACACCCCCAGGGCCGUCCUGACCCCCAGCCCUGCCCACCUUCCCCUUGCGCCUGCUGACCCCACAGCCAACCCUGACCCCCAUAGGCCGCCCCCAGCCCCGCCCUUCC